rnacentral:rRNA from 1 species
AGCGAACGCUGGCGGCAGGCCUAACACAUGCAAGUCGAACGAACUCUUCGGAGUUAGUGGCGGACGGGUGAGUAACACGUGGGAACGUGCCUUUUGGUUCGGAAUAACUCAGGGAAACUUGUGCUAAUACCGAAUGUGCCCUUCGGGGGAAAGAUUUAUCGCCAUUAGAGCGGCCCGCGUCUGAUUAGCUAGUUGGUGAGGUAACGGCUCACCAAGGCGACGAUCAGUAGCUGGUCUGAGAGGAUGACCAGCCACACUGGGACUGAGACCCGGCCCAGACUCCUACGGGAGGCAGCAGUGGGGAAUCUUGCGCAAUGGGAGAAAGCCUGACGCAGCCAUGCCGCGUGAAUGAUGAAGGUCCUAGGAUUGUAAAAUUCUUUCACCGGGGACGAUAAUGACGGUACCCGGAGAAGAAGCCCCGGCUAACUUCGUG